rnacentral:tRNA from 1 species
GAUGGAAUGACCGAAUAUAGGUGAUAAACUGUAAAUUUAUUUAUGAGCUUAGCUCUUUCAUCA